rnacentral:rRNA from 1 species
AGUGAACGCUGGCGGUAGGCCUAACACAUGCAAGUCGAACGGCAGCACAGUAAGAGCUUGCUCUUACGGGUGGCGAGAGGCGGACGGGUGAGGAAUACAUCGGAAUCUACUUUUUCGUGGGGGAUAACGUAGGGAAACUUACGCUAAUACCGCAUACGACCUACGGGUGAAAGCAGGGGAUCUUCGGACCUUGCGCGAUUGAAUGAGCCGAUGUCGGAUUAGCUAGUUGGCGGGGUAAAGGCCCACCAAGGCGACGAUCCGUAGCUGGUCUGAGAGGAUGAUCAGCCACACUGGAACUGAGACACGGUCCAGACUCCUACGGGAGGCAGCAGUGGGGAAUAUUGGACAAUGGGCGCAAGCCUGAUCCAGCCAUACCGCGUGGGUGAAGAAGGCCUUCGGGUUGUAAAGCCCUUUUGUUGGGAAAGAAAAGCAGCAGGUUAAUACCCCGCUGUUCUGACGGUACCCAAAGAAUAAGCACCGGCUAACUUCGUG